UGCUCUAUGGCUCAGAGGUUAGAGCGUCUGUCUGGAAUUCAGGAGACUCGGGUUCAAUCCCUGGGUCAG
rnacentral:tRNA from 1 species